UGCGACCAGUUUGCUCUGAUCUGCGAGGACCACUUUUUAAAAAUAGAGAGAUCCCCGGUGGAAGAGAGAAUCCUCUGCUUCAACAGGAAAUCUACAGCCUCCAUGAGGGAGAUCCAGAAAAACAUAGCCACACUUUGUAUCUGGAGUACAGAUUGGGCCAAACUGAAAGCCAGAGACAGAAAGUUGGUCCCUGGUGCAGGGGUCUUAACCAAGAUUUUUUAA
rnacentral:lncRNA from 1 species